rnacentral:rRNA from 1 species
ACUCCGUACGGGAGGCAGCAGUGGGGAACUAUUGCACAAUGGGGGAAACCCUGAUGCAGCCAUGCCGCGUGUGUGAAGAAGGCCUUCGGUUGUAAAGCACUUUCAGUAGGGAGGAAGGUAGUGUAGUUAAUACCUGCAUUAUUUGACGUUACCUACAGAAGAAGCACCGGACUAACUCCGUGCCAGCAGCCGCGGUAAUACGGAGGGUGCGAGCGUUAAUCGGAAUUACUGGGCGUAAAGCGCAUGCAGGCGGCCUGUUAAGUCAGAUGUGAAAGCCCGGGGCUUAACCUCGGAAUUGCAUUUUGAAACUGGCAGGCUAGAGUCUUGUAGAAGGGGGGUAGAAUUUCAGGUGUAGCGGUGAAAUGCGUAGAGAUCUGAAGGAAUACCAGUGGCGAAGGCGGCCCCCCUGGACAAAGACUGACGCUCAGAUGCGAAAGCGUGGGGAGCAAACAGGAUUAGAUACCCUGGUAGCACAGAGC